AUUGAACGCUGGCGGCAUGCCUUACACAUGCAAGUCGAACGGUAACGGGCCUUCGGGUGCCGACGAGUGGCGAACGGGUGAGUAAUGCAUCGGAACGUACCUUUCAGUGGGGGAUAACGUAGCGAAAGUUACGCUAAUACCGCAUAUUCUGCGAGCAGGAAAGCAGGGGAUCGCAAGACCUUGCGCUGAUUGAGCGGCCGAUGUCAGAUUAGCUAGUUGGUGAGGUAAAGGCUCACCAAGGCGACGAUCUGUAGCGGGUCUGAGAGGAUGAUCCGCCACACUGGAACUGGGACACGGUCCAGACUCCUACGGGAGGCAGCAGUGGGGAAUUUUGGACAAGGGGGGCAACCCUGAUCCAGCCAUGCCGCGUGAGUGAAGAAGGCCUUCGGGUUGUAAAGCUCUUUCGGUCGGGAAGAAAUCGCAUGGGUUAAUACCCUGUGCGGAUGACGGUACCGGCAUAAGAAGCACCGGCUAACUACGUGCCAGCAGCCGCCGUAAAAC
rnacentral:rRNA from 1 species